AGGGGCGUAGCUCAAUUGGUAGAGCACUGGUCUCCAAAACCAGCGGUUGCAGGUUCGAGUCCUGUCGCCCCUGCCA
rnacentral:tRNA from 1 species